rnacentral:rRNA from 1 species
AGGAAUUGGCGGGGGAGCACCACAAGGGGUGAAGCCUGCGGUUCAAUUGGAGUCAACGCCGGAAAUCUUACCGGGGGCGACAGCAGUGUGAAGGUCAAGCUGAAGACUUUACUCGACAAGCUGAGAGGAGGUGCAUGGCCGUCGCCAGCUCGUGCCGUGAGGUGUCCUGUUAAGUCAGGUAACGAGCGAGAUCCCUGCUUUUAGUUGCUACCACUACUCUCAGGAGGAGUGGGGCUAAUUAAAAGGACUGCCGCCGCUAAGGCGGAGGAAGGAGGGGGCUACGGCAGGUCAGUAUGCCCCGAAACCCUCGGGCCACACGCGGGCUGCAAUGGUAAGUACAAUGGGUUCCGAUUCCGAAAGGAGGAGGCAAUCCCUAAACCUUACCUCAGUUAUGAUUGAGGGCUGAAACUCGCCCUCAUGAAUAUGGAAUCCCUAGUAACCGCGUGUCAUUAUCGCGCGGUGAAUACGUCCCUGCUCCUUGCACACACCGCCCGUC